CAAAACAUAAGAGACAAAAGAUUAUGACGUCAUUCUACAGCCUCGGUUUUUAAGGAAAACACACCCGAUAUGCACUACAUACAUUCACUGUUCCUCCCCCCACACCCUCAGAGACCCAGCGGGGCAAACCCGCCCUGCCCCGCUGCAUCUGCGCAUGCGCGGCGCCGCCGGCGACCCGCUCCCCCUACGCGCAGGCGCGCCGAAACGGGGGAGGGGGGUCCCACCACCCACACGCAUGCGCCCCGCCCAUUCGCGCCCCGCCGUGCGCGGUGCACUGUGGGAAGGAGGCGGCUCCUUCUCCCGGCGUCCGGCGGCGGUGAAUCCUCCCGGCCGCUCACAGCAGUGUAGAGCCGCUUCCCCCCCCUCCUCCCCUUCCUUCCUCCCUCCCUCCCUCCCCUCCCGUCCUCCUCCUCCACCCCACAUACACCACCCCCCCCCCCUUCCUUUCUCCGGCCCGCGGAUUUAAAGGGGCAGCGGCGCCAAAGCGGGGGGGGGGAAGACCAUGCCGAACUUCUGCGCGGCUCCCAACUGCACCCGCAAGAGCACUCAGUCCGACCUGGCUUUCUUCCGCUUCCCCCGGGACCCGGUCAGAUGUCAGAGAUGGGUAGAGAACUGUCGAAGGGCAGAUUUAGAAGAUAAAACUCCAGAUCAACUCAACAAGCAUUACAGAUUGUGCGCUAAACAUUUUGAGACUUCUAUGAUAUGUAGAAGUAGCCCUUACAGAACAGUUUUACGGGACAAUGCUGUGCCAACUAUAUUUGAUCUUACAAGUCACUUGAACAAUCCCCACAGCAGACAUAGGAAAAGGAUAAAAGAGCUGAGUGAAGAUGAAAUAAAAACACUGAAGCAACAAAAGAUUGAUGAAGCUUUUGAACGGGAACAGGCAACUCAAGAACUGAAUGAAAGCAAUGAACAAAAUACUGUCUCAGAGGAAGGAGGGGAAGAACGAGAGGAAGAAGCAGUCCCCUUAACACUGGAAGAAAGAGAAAACAAAGAUUACCUUAAAUCUUUGUUUGAAAUUUUGAUCCUAAUGGGUAAACAAAAUAUUCCUUUGGAUGGCCAUAAUGUUGAUGAGCUUCCAGAAGGUAUUUUUACUUCAGACAACUUUCAGGCUCUACUGGAAUACAGAAUAAAUGCUGGAGAUGAAGUUCUGAGGAAACGAUUUGAGAUGACUGCAGUCAAUCUUGAGUAUUGCUCAAAAACUCAGCAGAAACAAAUGCUUGAGAUCUGUGAAAGCUGUGUUAGAGAGGAGACGCUGAGGGAAGUAAGAGACUCGCACUUCUUUUCUAUUGUCACUGAUGAAGUAGUAGACAUAGCAGGAGAGGAACAUUUGCCAGUGUUGGUGAGAUUUGUUGACGAUUCUCAUAACCUGAGAGAAGAAUUCAUAGGGUUUUUACCGUACGAGGCUGAUCCUGAAAUUUUGGCUGUGAAGUUCCACACAACUAUUACUGAAAAGUGGGGUCUAAACAUGGAGUACUGUCGAGGUCAAGCCUACAUUGUCUCUAGUGGGUUUGCUUCUAAAAUGAAAGUUGUGGCUACAAGACUCUUGGAAAAGUAUCCACAAGCUGUGUAUACGCUGUGUUCCUCUUGUGCCUUAAACGUUUGGCUGGCAAAAUCUGUUCCUGUUGUUGGUGUUUCCAUUGCAUUAGGAACAAUUGAAGAAGUUUGUUGUCUUUUUAAUCAGUCUCCGCAAUUACUAGUAGAACUGGACAAUACGAUUUCUGUUCUUUUUCAGAACAAUAAGGAGAAGGGUAGGGAGCUGAAGGAGAUAUGCCGUUCUCAGUGGACAGGCAGGCAUGAUUCUUUUGAGGUCUUAGUGGACCUCAUGCAAGCAUUGGUACUGUGCUUGGAUGCAGUAAGCAAUGACUCAUCCAUUAGGUGGAACAACUUUAUUGCCAGUCGAGCAUUUGUACUUUCAAGUGCAUUAACAGAUUUUGACUUCAUUGUCACCAUUGUAAUUCUGAAAAACAUUCUGUCAUUCACAAGAGCAUUUGGAAAAAAUCUCCAAGGACAAACAUCAGAUGUGUUCUUUGCAGCUAGCAGCUUAACAGCAGUGUUGCAUUCUCUGAACGAGGUGAUGGAGAAUAUUGAAGUUUACCAUGAAUUUUGGUUUGAGGAAGCAACAAAUUUGGCUACAAAACUGGAUGUACAAAUUAAACUCCCAGGAAAGUUUCGCAGGGCACAGCAGGGGAACUUGAACGUUGAGGUAACAUCAGAAAAUUACUACAAAGAAAUCCUUAGUGUCCCCACAGUGGAGCAUAUUAUUCAAGAAUUAAAAGAUAUAUUCUCAGAACAACAUUUAAAAGCUCUUAAGUGUUUAUCGUUGGUGCCCUCAGUCAUGGGGCAACUCAAAUUCAAUACGUCUGAGGAGCAUCACGCUGACAUGUAUAAAAAUGACUUGCCUAACCCAGACACGCUUUCUGCUGAGCUUCAUUGUUGGAGAAUCAAGUGGAAGCACAGAGGAAAAGAUAUUGAACUUCCAGCUACUAUUUAUGAAGCACUUCACUUGCCUGACAUAAAGUUUUUCCCUAAUGUUUAUGCAUUGCUUAAAGUAUUAUGUAUACUUCCAGUGAUGAAGGUGGAGAAAGAAAAAUAUGAAAUGGGACGAAAACGCUUAAAGGCAUAUCUGAAAAACACCUUGACAGAGCAAAGGUCAAGCAACCUAGCUUUGCUGAACAUAAACUUUGAUAUAAAACAUGACUUAGAUUUAAUGGUGGACACUUACAUUAAACUCUAUCCAGAUAAAGUGGAAUUUCAAGAAGACUUUAUUCCCUCAAACAACUCUGAAGCAACAGAAGAUGCUUAAUUUUUUUAAGCUGUAGCCAAUCUGUUGAAACAGCCUUUUCUUAAUCAGGUUUCAAUGCUGAGGAAAAAAACUGUGAAAUCUAAAAAGUCACUGCAAUUUUAUUUCCAUUUUAGGUCUCAGACUGAAGAAGCUGUGGUCAGUGACCCAAAUCACAUUUUGUUAGUCUGCAUUAAAUGUGUUAUGCCUGAAACCAAGCCUGAAAAGAAGCCCAUGCUCUUGGCAGAGGUGCUUUCUAUAUCUGAUUGACUUAACUAGGUGCUUGUUUACCUUAUUGCAUCUUGGAAAAAGUACAUUGUGAUUGUAGAUCUGAUGGGGCUGUUACGUAUUCGUGAAUUAGGAUAAGAAAAAACCCUCAAAAGGUUAAAAAGUUUAUAAUCCAUUUUGGUUCUGUUACAUAGGGGUUUUAUUCUUUCUGAAAGCUUAAGAAAAAAAAAAAAGUAUUUGAUGUAUAUUUAAUCAGCAUUUUGGAGAGUAGACUCUGCUACUGCACGAUCCCGGUGCUGUGGACUGUUCUCGGUGUAAAGUGAAUGUUAGUGGUACAGAGGUACAUUUACGGUUUCGUUGGAAGAGUCAACCUCUUUAAUCUCUCGAUGACUGUUUACAUUCCUUUGUGUGAGACACACAACUUUUUUGUUUUCUUUAGGUUUUUAACAGGCAUGGCAGGAAUACUGAAAUUCUUAAAAGACACUAAAAUCUUAAGAUUUAUUCCACAAACAUUUAAAUCUGCUCGUUCCAUCCUGACUGACACAAACCCAUGCAUCUUACUGUCUAUUUGUAACUCACCCAAGAAAGAUUAAAAUAAGAGUUUGUUGUUUGUUUAGAAGUAAGAUUGAAAAUAUUGCUGUUAUUUUUGGCAAGAAUAAAACAUUUUUGUACAGUUUAUUGCAGUUUAAAAUAAAAUGUGAAUUGCUUUUUACAUAGUAUUGAAUUUCUUAGUAAAGCUGUGCCUCUUUGAGAAUGUAUAUUCUUUUGUAAGGUACCUUUUAGUUUUGGCAAUUUUUUCUCUGCUAUUUUUGCAAUUCUAGUGAGUGGCAUUGUCUUAAGACACAGGAAACUGUGUAUUAGCACCUCUGUAUGUUUUGCUGAAGAUUUUUUUACAGUAUUUUGGGAUAGCACUAAAUAGAGCGCUUUUAAUUGUGGAAGUUCUGUCUAACUGAAACAGUUAAGUAGGUUAAAUUUGGAAUGGUGGAAAAGUUAACUUUUGCAGCUGUCCUGAUGCAUGCCAUUUUAACUUAUUUACAGUUGUCCUUUUAUGUACUUCUUGGUUGCAGUGGGAAAGGUCCCCAGCAACAGAAGAUGGAAUGAUUGUAGAGACUAUGACAAAUACAAUUCUUAAUGUUCUAAUGCAGACAAACAAUAAGAAUAAAUUUGAAAAAAGCCCCAACAUUUACUAAGUAAGCAUAGAUAUUAAAGUGGCUAUGUACAUCUUAAGAAAUGCUUUCAGGAUAUUUUAUUUGCAUUGGAGCCAUAAAAAUACUCUUAAAGUUACCUUUUCUUUCCACUGUUACUUGUAUAUGCUUUCUGGCAUGCUUUCAUAUUAAAGCAAUUGUUACCUCAAUAAGUAAAAAAUGUUUUAGCUAAUAGCUCGUUCUGUUCCUCUGAAUAUAUGACAAUAGCCAAAAUGUAUGUUAAUGCUACUUUAAAAAAAAAAAAAAGGCAUUUUUUAAUUAGAAGUCAUAUGGAAAAUUGUCUUUUUUUUUAAAAAAGAUCUCCAUUACAAUUUUAAGUAAUUUAUUAAAUAAAUAAAAUCUUUCCCAUCCUAGGAAUGACUGUGAGUUCCCCUGCUAGAAACAACAAUGUGAGAUGGUUGUGACCUCUGAGGGUGUGAGCCCCAUCUCAAUAAAGCCGGGUUGGGUGAGCCCAGGCUUCCAGGCAUAAUUGGAGAAGGAAAAUUGACACCCAGUGCCCUAUAAUUGGCCAAAAAGAGCUGAAGACUCCUUUCUGACUGUGUAAAUGAGAUCUUUUUGACCGAUGUACUGAGACAAAUUGAAGAAGGGAAAUGCAGUAAGACACUCCUUUAGCUCCUGGAGCUCGGCUGCGACAUACCGUUGUGACUAGCGUUGCUAAUUAGCUAGCUCCCAGAGCCUUGGUGGCUCGAUGUGCUCGAGUUGUGCUGCCUGUCACGGGGAUGCUGAGGUUGUCUGUAAUCGGUCAGAAGCUCCUUGUUUAGCCUGUCUGAAUUGUCCUGUUGGUAAGGAAUGCCUCAAUUUUUAGGCAUGUCAGUGGGUCACUUAAGUAGCAGGUACUGUGCAUGGUGAUGGCUUGGCGGGAUGCGGAGGAGCAAAGGAAUAGCAGAUGGCAGUGAUGUCAACUCUGCUGAGCAAUGCUUUGAUUAAGAAGAAGCACACCCAGCAUGAAAGGCAGACGGCUUAUUCCUGGGAGACUUUGUCCACACCGUACACAGCUCCUCCUGAACCCUGUACCCUAAGAUCCAAGUGCACAACUGUUAAAUUAGCAAAAUACAUGAACCUAAACACAUGUUAAUUAUUAGAUAGUUUCCACUCCACUCUGAAAAGAUUAAGUAUGCAACUGAGCAUUGACUUUAAGACUUUCUAAGUACACCGUACAAAACUACACCUUCCAAAUCAGUGUCGUGCAGAAGGCAGGGUACCCUGUUCAGUGUCUGCAGAGACGGCAGAAAGCUUGAAGGAAUUACUGCUUGACAGCACCGUCUCCUCUUGCAGUGACAGCAGUUUAUGAACAGUUCCACUUCACGUGUUUCUCUUCACGCCGACACUUGCGCCCUGAGCCUGAGCAUCUCUGCAGAAAAGAAGGUGGGAGCAGGUUGGAGACAGGAGUGUGAGUGUAAGGAAGGAUCAUAGAUGGGUAACAUCCAUUCAAAAUAUUAAUUAUUCACAGCUGACUCAGAAACCUACCUCCUGUGCUUAUCUAAUUACAAAAAAUUAAUAUAGUAAUUUCUUCCUUUACAGCAAAUCAGUAUUUCCUGAAGUAAUUGUGAUACUUUCCCUGAGCUGAGCAGAGCUCCACAAGGAUUUUCAUUUACAAACAAUUUGGUGAUAUCUUAUUACAUGUAAGAGUUGUGUUAGGUCAGAUAAAAAUGUGUCUUGCAUUCCUUGCUUGUCCCAGAGCUGCUGCACAGUAGAUGUUUCAAUGUGCAAGAGGCAUAAAGAGUUAUGAGUAUGCAGUUUUAGAUUUAUUUUUAUUAGGGAUAUUUGAAUAUCUUGUAGCCUUUACAGAGUAACCAUUUCUCCUGGGCUGGGAAAGAAUUUUGGAACAGAUAAAAUAAUUGCUAUUUUUGAUUCACCAAUAAUCCUGAAUUAUUAAAACAAAAAAGAUAUCUUUUAAACAUGCAGUCAUAAUCUGGU